rnacentral:rRNA from 1 species
UACGGAGGGGGCUAGCGUUGUUCGGAUUCAUUGGGCGUAAAGGGUGCGUAGGCGGCGCGGUAAGUCGGGUGUGAAAUCUUGGAGCUUAACUCCGAAACUGCAUUCGAUACUGCCGUGCUUGAGGACUGGAGAGGAGACUGGAAUUUACGGUGUAGCGGUGAAAUGCGUAGAUAUCGUAAGGAAGACCAGUGGCGAAGGCGGGUCUCUGGACAGUUCCUGACGCUGAGGCACGAAGGCCAGGGGAGCAAACGGG